AGGGCACCACCAGGAGUGGAGCCUGCGGCUUAAUUUGACUCAACACGGGAAAACUUACCUGGUCCUGACACUAGAAGGAUUGACAGAUUGAUAGCUCUUUCUUGAUUUGGUGGAUGGUGGUGCAUGGCCGUUCUUAGUUGGUGGAGUGAUUUGUCUGGUUAAUUCCGAUAACGAACGAGACUCUAGCCUAUUAAAUAACACACAGAAUCUCGUCUUCUGUGGUGUUUCUUAAUGGGAUCAAGUGUGUUUAACGCUUUGAAACAGAGCA
rnacentral:rRNA from 1 species